UAGAAACACUUGCUUAACGCUUGGGGGAGUCAAAUUUGGUUUUGGGAGUAGAUUCAAGACUGGGUAAGAAGUCAAUAACCUUGUAAUUAAUUUAUGUUUUUGUACAUGCCGUCAUCACUGCCGUUAUUUCUGCAUUAGAAAAAAGUCCACUGUCUAGCCAUUUCUGUCUCCACAGUUUGUACAUCGCGCCUUGGAUUUGUUCAUUACUAGAAAUAUAAUGAAGGGGAUGGAUGACACAUGUUCUAUCCUUGUCACUAUAGAUUUAUCAGUGCCGCUGAUGCCAAACUAGAAAUCACCAGGCCACACGCAUCGUCCUGCUGAGAUGAUUCUUCCCCCAUCAAGAAAGGCUGUCUUUGAUCACCAUACGCGAUCUCGCACUGUCUAAAUUCGGCGGCAUGUUUGACACGGCGGCAACUUCUUAUUUUUAAGAACAAAAAUUUCUUACACGCCUGUGCACAAUGUCUUGCAUAUUAUUGGAAUUCACUUCUCUUUGACAUGGAAGCUUGUAGAACUGUUUCCUAUUCCACUUUUAUUUAUUUAUUUAUUGCAUGGCUUAAUUAAUUGUAUCUCUACUUGUAUAUGCCAUUUUUGUUCUUAAAAUAUUGCUUAAUGGUUGGUGUGUCUCUUCCCGUGUACAGUUUGACAGGUCGGAGAUGGUGACUCAACCUACUAUUGGAAAUUGCAUUGGAGCUCAAUUGAUGCGAGUUUUAGCUAGAACAUCUUGUGAUUUCUGCAUCAUACCAUCCCCCAGCCAGUUACUGGUUGGAAGAAACUCACAUCGAGUUUUGCACCACCAAAUUAUAAGAAUUCCCAAAAUUUGAACACACAAAUAAUGAAAUCUUAAAAACUUUUGCGGCUUCCUUUGAAUACCACGGUGAUGCUGACAGCCUUCCUUCUUGCAGACAAAGGCACAUUGAGUCUGUUUACUUGAAUUUGGAUAUGGAAGUAAAACUCCACGUUAGCUUCUUCGAUCUAACACAAGCUAUUGUGGUGAUGUGUUGAAAACCAAAACUUCUUCGGUUCUCGCUUCCUUCUCUUUAUAAUGAGUUGAGAACAUGAUUUGCAGAUUUCUGGUUUGCCUUUGGAAACUGACAAUUUGCAGAAAUUUGUUUAAAAGAUCGACAUAUGGAGGUCAUUUUUCUUUACUUUUCUCAAUAAGCGUUGGCUACUUUUCAUGAAAGGACGAUAAACAGGAUGUAGUUCCCAAAUUAUUUGAGGAUGGAUCAAAUGGAUAAGUGCUUCUGCAGUGAUGAUGCAUGUAUUUGUGGAUGCGUUUCUCAGUUAACCCUGAGUUGUUGCUCAUGUGGAGUGAAUUAUGCAUGAAGUAUGACAAACUUCACUUGUGUCUGCAAUGGAAGUGCCCAUUAACACAUCCAGUAGUAUUUAAUUUUGGGCCUUGCCUCCCUGGGCCGAUAUAAUUCAUUUGGCUUACAAACAAGUAUUUUUUUAUCGUUAAUUUCAAUCAAUACACCGGAAAAGGUCUUAUGAUUUCAAUAGUUUUAGUUGAAAUAUGUUUUGUAGAAUAACAUCUAGUGCACUAGCAUAUUUUGCUGCGUUUUCUGACAAAAAUCUCUAAAUUUUAUCCGUCGGAAUUCCAAAGAAAUUAUACCAAAGAUCAUAGAAGCUCUGAGUGUUGAUGGAUCUGGUGGCCACCAGAUCGAAGCUUCAACUGUUGAUCCAUCAUCAGAGAAAACCUGGGUUUCACCAUCUGAGAGAUAUACCAUUGUUCCUGAUGAAUCUAGGCAAACAGUUGCGUUUGGGGGUAAUGGGAAUGAUGCAAGUGUUCCUGAGAAUGAUGUCAAACGGAUGCGGAUUUGAUUACUCCAGAUCCAUGGAGCACCAAUAACCUGUUCUUCCGUCCCCAAGCUUCCAUUAUCCGUCUUUCUGAACCAGGCAAUGCCUAAACUGCCAUAUUUUGCACUCUUGUUACUGCUGAAUGUAAAUUCUUCCUGGACAGAACGUUGUUUUUGGUUAUAAAUUUAUUGAGAGGAAAUUUAUUUGACUCUGCAGAUUCAACUUUUUGUUCAAAAGCCACCUGACCAGGCAAAAAGGAACCGCGAUUCAGUCUGGUUUGUUCUCCUGGUGAAACUAUCGAUUUCAUUUUGCAUGCGAAAGGAUGGCUAUUGACAGAAAUGUGUCUCCAUUUUUCUCUAGUUUCAUCUUGUCAAAAUAAACAACGCUGACAAAUGUGCCCCUCAGUUGUACAUAUGAUCUUAACAACGUUCCACGCUAGCCAUUCAGUCAAGAUCCGCAA